GCCAGCAGCCAUAUCACCCUGCAACUCACAACUGGCAACCCACUGAAGCUUAGCAGGUGUGAGCCUGGUCAGUACAUGGAUAGGAGACCUUCUGGGAGAAACUAAGGUUGCUGCUGGAA
rfam:Lepisosteus oculatus linkage group LG7, whole genome shotgun sequence.